rnacentral:rRNA from 1 species
AUUGAACGCUGGCGGAAUGCUUAACACAUGCAAGUCGAGCGGUAACAGGUGUAGCAAUACAUGCUGACGAGCGGCGAACGGGUGAGUAAUGCUUCGGAAUCUGCCCAGUAGUGGGGAAUAACGUAGGGAAGCUUACGCUAAUACCGCAUACGAACUACGGUUGAAAGCAGGGGAUCGCAAGACCUUGCGCUAUUGGAUGAGCCGAAGUCGGAUUAGCUAGUUGGUGAGGUAAAGGCUCACCAAGGCGACGAUCCGUAGCUGGUCUGAGAGGACGACCAGCCACACUGGAACUGAGACACGGUCCAGACUCCUACGGGAGGCAGCAGUGGGGAAUAUUGGACAAUGGGGGAAACCCUGAUCCAGCGACGCCGCGUGUGUGAAGAAGGCCUGCGGGUUGUAAAGCACUUUUAGUGGGGACAAAAAGCCAAAGGCUAAUACCUUUUGGUCUUGAUUUAACCCAAAGAAAAAGCACCGGCUAACUCUGUGCCAGCCGCCGCAGUAA